AUACGGAGGGUGCAAGCGUUAUUCGGAAUCACUGGGCGUAAAGGACGCGUAGGCGGGGUGGAAAGUCAGGUGUGAAAGCCUACAGCUUAACUGUAGAACUGCACUUGAAACUCUCACCCUAGAGUAUGUGAGGGGCAGAUGGAAUUAGUGGUGUAGGGGUAAAAUCCGUAGAUAUCACUAGGAAUACCGAAAGCGAAGGCGAUCUGCUGGAACAUAACUGACGCUAAGGCGUGAAAGCGUGGGGAGCAAACAGAAUUAGAAACCCUAGUAGUCC
rnacentral:rRNA from 1 species